rnacentral:ncRNA from 1 species
UUCUUAUCAAGAGAGAUGGAGGGAUUUGGCCCGAUGAAGUCUCAGCAACAGGUUAUUUAACACUGUGCUAAAUCCAACAAGUUUUCAACUUGGCAGAUAAGAA